CACGCCGUAAACGGUGGAUGCUGGAUGUGGGGCCCAUUCCACGGGUUCCGUGUCGGAGCUAACGCGUUAAGCAUCCCGCCUGGGGAGUACGGCCGCAAGGCUAAAACUCAAAGAAAUUGACGGGGGCCCGCACAAGCGGCGGAGCAUGCGGAUUAAUUCGAUGCAACGCGAAGAACCUUACCUGGGCUUGACAUGUGCCGGACGGUCCCGGAGACGGGGCCUCCCUUCGGGGCCGGUUCACAGGUGG
rnacentral:rRNA from 1 species